CAACUACUCCCUCCGUUCGGAAUUACUUGUCGCAGAAAUGGAUGUAUCUAGACGUAUUUUAGUUCUAGAUACAUCCAUUUCCGAGACAAGUAAUUCCGAACGGAGGGAGUAGAUU
rnacentral:pre_miRNA from 1 species